rnacentral:tRNA from 1 species
GCGGUCAUAACUCAGUGGUAGAGCGUUCGCUCUACAUGCGGAUAGCCCGGAGUUCAUUCCUCCGCAACUCCA